AUGGCUCGCGCGCACGGCGCCUUCCUGCUACAGCUGCUGGCCGCGGGCCUGCAGGUCGUCGCGCUCGCGGCGACCGUCACAGUCACACAGACGGACGACCCGCGGUGCCGGCCGAGCCUGCCGCGGCGGGGCGCCAUCGCGGUGUACCCGAGCGACAUGGAGCAGCUGCAGUUCCUGCUCAACCCCAAGUUCGUGGAGGCUGAGUGGUUCCUCCACGCCGCGCUGGGGCGGGGCAUCGACUACCUCGACCGCAACCUCUCGGCGGGCGGCCCGGCGCCCGUCGGCGCGCGCAAGGCCAACCUCGACUUUCGCACCACCGAGAUCGCCGCCGAGCUCGGGUACCAGGAGGUGGGCCACAUCAGGGCCAUCACGCAGGCCAACGGCGGGUUCCCGCGCCCGCCCAUCGACCUCAGCGCCGACCGCUUCGCCGCCAUCAUGGACGACGCCAUGGGCGCGCGCCUCGACCCGCCCUUCGACGCCUACAACGGCACCGUCAACUUCCUCCUCGCCUCCUACAUCCUGCCUCACGUCACCGCCGCCGCCGCCGUCGGCAUCAGCCCCAACCUCAUGGGCUACGCCUCCAAGCGCCUCCACGCCAGCGUCCUGGCGGUGGAGGCCGGGCAGGACGCGGUGAUCAGGAUGCUGCUGUACCAGCGCGCCGACGAGACGGUGGCGCCCUACAAGGGCCGCACGGUGGCCGAGUUCACGCGCCGGAUCUCCGACUGGCGCAACGACCUGUCCGGCUGCGGCGCCAAGGACGAGGGAGUCAAGGUGCUGGACCGGCACCAGGGCGCCGAGCGGCGCACCAUCAGCAACAUCCUCGGCGCCGGCGUGGACUCGCUUGGGUACCAGCGCACCCCGGCGGAGGCGCUGCGCAUCCUCUACGGCUCUCGCAACGAGCAGGUCCCCGGCGGGUUCCUGCCCCAGGGCGCCAACGGCACCAUCGCCAGAGGAUUUGUCCAGCUCGCAUAG
rnacentral:rRNA from 1 species